AUAUAUAUAUAUAUAUAUGUAUGUAUAUAUUGUAAAUUAGAUAAAGAAGAAAGCAGGUGGCUGCCAGCCGAGAGAGAGCAGAAAGAAAAAGAAAGAAAAGAAAAAGAGCAAAAAGAAAAGGAAGAUAUUUUAAAUUUUGUGGGGCCCACCCCCCAUUUAAUCAUUUUAAAUGGCCUUAGGGCCAUCACAGGCCCUCAUUUUUUUUCUUCUUUCUCGGCAGAUUCUCUCUCCAUUUUUCUUUUUCUUUUUUUCUUUUCUUUGCUACAACAAUUCAAGCCUCGGUUUUGAUCUAGCCUUUGAGAAUUUGAUAGUGCUGUUUGAGACAAAGUUAGAGAGCUCGUCGAGCUCUUCGUUUUGAUCGGAGCCGAUUCAUGAUUUGGUGUCCUUGGGAUUUUCAAAAUUAGGGCUUGGAAUUGGGGUUUUUUGUAUCCUUUGAGGUCUUGGAAAGGAACUGGUGGAUGACAACCCAACUCAAGCUUGAACGGCGUUAGAAGUUCACUUUUGUAUCUUUGUAUAUUCCCCAUUAUUUUGUAAAACACUAGAAGUACAAAGAUGUAUAAUUAUUUUGUGGAACUUUGUCAUGUAAUAUAACUAAAGUAUUGAUGAUGUUUUGGAUGGGGAUUUGAUAGUA